rnacentral:rRNA from 1 species
GACGAACGCUGGCGGCGUGCUUAACACAUGCAAGUCGAACGGAAAGGCCCUGCUUUUGUGGGGUGCUCGAGUGGCGAACGGGUGAGUAACACGUGAGUAACCUGCCCUUGACUUUGGGAUAACUUCAGGAAACUGGUGCUAAUACCGGAUAGGAGCUCCUGCUGCAUGGUGGGGGUUGGAAAGUUUCGGCGGGUGGGGAUGGACUGGGGGCUUAUCAGCUUGUUGGUGGGGUAGUGGCUUACCAAGGCUUCGACGGGUAGCCGGCCUGGGAGGGGGGCCGGCGACAUUGGGACUGAGGGACGGCGCAGACGGCUACGGGGGGCAGCGGGGGGGAGUAUGGCACAAUGGGGGGGAGCGUGAUGCGGCGGCGCCGCGUGCGGGAUGACGGCCUUCGGGUUGGAAAGCGCUUUCGCCUGUGACGAAGCGGGAGUGACGGUAAUGGGUGAAGAAGCACCGGCUAACUACGUG